rnacentral:snRNA from 1 species
GACUAGAAAUUGUUGACACAUAUUAAAAUUGGAAUGAUACAGAGAAGAUUAGCAUGAUGCCCUCUUGCACAAAGAUGACACGCACAAUUGUGACACGUUCCUAAUUUGA